GACGAACGCUGGCGGCGUGCUUAACACAUGCAAGUCGAACGGUAAGGCCCUUCGGGGUACACGAGUGGCGAACGGGUGAGUAACACGUGGGUGAUCUGCCCUGCACUUCGGGAUAAGCCUGGGAAACUGGGUCUAAUACCGGAUAGGACUCCUGGCUUCAUGGUGGGGGGUGGCAAGCUUUUGCGGUGUGGGAUGGGCCCGCGGCCUAUCAGCUUGUUGGUGGGGUAAUGGCCUACCAAGGCGACGACGGGUAGCCGGCCAGAGAGGGUGACCGGUCACACUGGGCCUGAGAUACGGACCAGACUCAUACGGGAGGCAUCAGUGGGGAAUAGUGCACAAUGGGUGCAAGCCUGAUGAAGCGACACGGCGUGGGGGAUGACGGCCUUCGGGUUGUAAACCUCUUUCAGCACCGACGAAGCGCGAGUGACGGUGGUGCAGAAGAAGGACCGGCCAACUACGUGCCAGCAGCCGCCGUAA
rnacentral:rRNA from 1 species